UACGUAGGGGGGCUAGCGUUGUCCGGAAUCAUUGGGCGUAAAGCGCGUGUAGGCGGCUCGGUAAGUCCGCUGUGAAAGUCGGGGGGCUCAACUCGGAUGGCCGGUGGAUACUGUCGGGCUAGGAGUACGGAAGAGGCGAGUGGAAUUCCUGGUGUAGCGGGUGAAAUGCGCAGAUAUCAAGGAGGAACACCAAUGCGAAGGGCAGACUCGCUUGGGACGUUAACUGACGCUGGAGACGCGAAAGCGUGGGGAGCAAACAGG
rnacentral:rRNA from 1 species